ensembl:lncRNA
GUAAUAGUGAGUGCUAUGUAAUGAGUGGUAUAAUGAGUGCUAUGUAAUGAGUGCUAUGUAUGGUGCUAAGAUGGUAUAUUGAGUAGUAAUAGUGAGUGCUAUGUAAUGAGUGGUAGUAUUUGCGAGUAGUACUAGUGAGUGCUAUUGUUAUGAGAAUGUAGUAUGCAGUAGUCCUAGUGCGUGCUAUGUAAUGAGUGGUAGUAAUGAGUGGUAGUAAUGGAGUGCUAUGUAAUGAGUGGUAGUAUUGAGUAGUAGUAAUGAGUGCUAUGUAAUUAGUGAGUUGCUAUUCUAAUGUGGUAGUAAUUGGAGUAGUUAUUAGUGAGUGCUAUGUAAUGAGUGUAGUAU